rnacentral:rRNA from 1 species
AUUGAACGCUGGCGGCAUGCCUUACACAUGCAAGUCGAACGGUAACGCGGGGCAACCUGGCGACGAGUGGCGAACGGGUGAGUAAUGUAUCGGAACGUGCCCAGUUGUGGGGGAUAACUGCUCGAAAGAGCAGCUAAUACCGCAUACGACCUGAGGGUGAAAGCGGGGGAUCGCAAGACCUCGCGCAAUUGGAGCGGCCGAUAGCAGAUUAGGAAGUUGGUGAGGUAAAGGCUCACCAAGCCGACGAUCUGUAGCUGGUCUGAGAGGACGACCAGCCACACUGGGACUGAGACACGGCCCAGACUCCUACGGGAGGCAGCAGUGGGGAAUUGUGGACAAUGGACGCAAGUCUGAUCCAGCCAUGCCGCGUGCGGGAAGAAGGCCUUCGGGUUGUAAACCGCUUUUGUCAGGGAAGAAACGCUCUGGGUUAAUACCUCGGGGUAAUGACGGUACCUGAAGAAUAAGCACCGGCUAACUACGUGCCAGCAGCCGCCGUAAGAC